rnacentral:ncRNA from 2 species
GGUCAUGAGUGCCAGCGUCAAGCCCCGGCUUGCUGGCCGGCAACCCUCCUCCGCGGUGGGGUGCUCCGGGUGACGACCGGGCCGCCGCCCGACCGGGCGCGGCAAGCGCGGACU